rnacentral:rRNA from 1 species
UACGUAGGUGGCAAGCGUUGUCCGGAAUUAUUGGGCGUAAAGCGCGCGCAGGCGGUUCUUUAAGUCUGAUGUGAAAUCUCGCGGCUCAACCGCGAGCGGUCAUUGGAAACUGGGGAACUUGAGUGCAGAAGAGGAGAGUGGAAUUCCACGUGUAGCGGUGAAAUGCGUAGAGAUGUGGAGGAACACCAGUGGCGAAGGCGACUCUCUGGUCUGUAACUGACGCUGAGGCGCGAAAGCGUGGGGAGCGAACAGG